AUGAGAUUACAGAACAGGAGAGAGAAGACAUCAGGUGUUGGUGAUAACAAUGUACAUGUUACUCCAGUUGGUGUUACUGUGAGAGGUCCACAAGGUAUUGCCAGUGGGGUGGGGCGGGGGGCUCAGUUGGCCAGUAUGGUGGAACAUGGUGCUAGAGCCAGUCCUCUUAGAUACCCAGCAGUCGACACUAGAGUGCCAAGUGUUAGUAGUAGCCAACCAGAGCAUGUUAGCAGUAGCCAACCAGGCAACGAUAACAGUGAAGAGUCCCAGAAGGCCAUAGGGGGUGAAAAUGAAAACCGAACACAAUUGCAAGUCCUAGCAGAGUUAGUCAAACAACUGGGCAGUGAAAUAGGAAAUCAAGUUGCCGCUAGUCUAGCAGGGGCUGGACCAAGCACUGCCCCUCCCCAACCAAUAGUAGAAAUACCUGAUUGGUCAAAGGUCAACCUAAUUCUGAAGUCAGAAGUCAGAGAACCACCCCACUUCCGGGGUGAUAGCACAGACCGGUGCACAGUGACUGAAUGGCAAGAAUUUAUGCAAGCUUACUUGAAAAAGAAGGGAUGCAGUAUAUCAGAACAGGGGCAAGAGAUACAGGACAGACUGAUGGGGCGGGCUAAAGACAUAGUCAGAAUUGGGCUCCGUGGAAACCCUCUUGUUAACAUAAGCAGAGAUCCUGAAGCCAUAUACAAUAUCUUGAGGCAGCACUUUGGAGAGGCAAUCUCAUCCACAAUUCCAUUGGGAUACUUCUAUGAAACCUUACCAAGACAGUCAGAGAGCUCCUUGGAUUAUUGGGUUAGACUGAACAAAGCAAUUGACCUUGCCAAUGAGUGCUUGCAAAGACAGGGAAAAAGAGUGGAUGAUCCAGGUCACGAGGUGACCAUGAUGUUUGUUAAGCACUGCCCUGAUCCAGCACUAUAUGCCGCUCUUAGGUGCAGGCCUAUUGAAAAUUUGACCGUUGGAGAUUUGCAGGCAAUGAUUGACAGCCAUCACGAGACAAACAAUCAGCCAGACACAGGGCGCAAAGUACUGCCAAGGUAG
rnacentral:lncRNA from 8 species